rnacentral:rRNA from 1 species
GGUCCCUAUCUGCCGUGGGCGCUGGAGAACUGAGGGGGGCUGCUCCUAGUACGAGAGGACCGGAGUGGACGCAUCACUGGUGUUCGGGUUGUCAUGCCAAUGGCACUGCCCGGUAGCUAAAUGCGGAAGAGAUAAGUGCUGAAAGCAUCUAAGCACGAAACUUGCCCCGAGAUGAGUUCUCCCUGAGACUUAAAGUCUCCUGAAGGAACGUUGAAGACGACGACGUUGAUAGGCCGGGUGUGUAAGCGCAGCGAUGCGUUGAGCUAACCGGUACUAAUGAACCGUGAGGCUUAACCUU